UUUUGUAUAAUGGGUCAGCGACUUAUAUUCUGUAGCAAGGUUAACCGAAUAGGGGAGCCGAAGGGAAACCGAGUCUUAACUGGGCGUUAAGUUGCAGGGUAUAGACCCGAAACCCGGUGAUCUAGCCAUGGGCAGGUUGAAGGUUGGGUAACACUAACUGGAGGACCGAACCGACUAAUGUUGAAAAAUUAGCGGAUGACUUGUGGCUGGGGGUGAAAGGCCAAUCAAACCGGGAGAUAGCUGGUUCUCCCCGAAAGCUAUUUAGGUAGCGCCUCGUGAAUUCAUCUCCGGGGGUAGAGCACUGUUUCGGCAAGGGGGUCAUCCCGACUUACCAACCCGAUGCAAACUGCGAAUACCGGAGAAUGUUAUCACGGGAGACACACGGCGGGUGCUAACGUCCGUCGUGAAGAGGGAAACAACCCAGACCGCCAGCUAAGGUCCCAAAGUCAUGGUUAAGUGGGAAACGAUGUGGGAAGGCCCAGACAGCCAGGAUGUUGGCUUAGAAGCAGCCAUCAUUUAAAGAAAGCGUAAUAGCUCACUGGUCGAGUCGGCCUGCGCGGAAGAUGUAACGGGGCUAAACCAUGCACCGAAGCUGCGGCAGCGACGCUUAUGCGUUGUUGGGUAGGGGAGCGUUCUGUAAGCCUGUGAAGGUGUACUGUGAGG
rnacentral:rRNA from 1 species